CCGGGACUUCGGGAGGAGGAGGUAACACUGGAGAAGGGGUUGGAGGGGUGGUAACGGGGGGCUGGGUCAGGGCGGUAAGGGCAGAGAUUAGGGACGGCAAAUCAGCCGAGAGGGGAGGAGGCAACGAGGUAGAGGGGACCGGGAUAUCGGGAGGGGGUACCACUGGAGAAGGGGUUGGAGGGGUGGGAACGGGGGGCUGGGUCAGGGCAGUGAGGGCAGAGAUUAGGGACGGCAAAUCAGUCGGGAGGGGAGGGGACAACGAGGUAGAAGAGAGGUCCGGAGGCAUAAGGGAAGCGGGAUCAGCGGGAGGACAAGGGUCUGGAGGAUCUGGGGCGGUGGGGUGAGUAAGGUCGAGAGGGCAGAGAGCGGGGCAGCGGAUGGAGACGGGUGAGUGGGUAACACUGGGGAGGGGUCAGUCGAGGUGGAGAGGGGACGAGAGGCAAGCAUAGGUAAAGGUGGCGGGGGAAUGUCAUUUAACGUGAAGGAUGUUACUGUAAACAUACGAUUUUUAACUAGCAAGAUUCUAUUAAGUAAAGAUACAAUGUUUAAAAUAACUUGCAUUAAUUUGCAAUAUCCCUUGUUGCAAGACACAGGCAUUAAUGAAUAAUCAUCAGGAUAAUUAGCUGUAAUGCUCUUAUAUUCGUGCCCUACAGAACUCAUUUGUAGGUCACACCACAGGUGCAAAUGACUCUUUAGCAACCUCUUUUUUUUUUUUUUUAAAUAUCACGGACACAUCUCUGAUACAGGGAAACAAAUGGCAUGAUUGUUUUAGUUAAUAUAACGUUUCAGUUCAUAAUAUGUAGAGUGUAAUGUCUCUAAAUAGGACGAGCAUGAUAGGGGUAGGCCUCAUGAUGGAGGCAGCCAUGACAGGGGCGGGGAAGGAAAUGACAGCAAGGGAGGAAGUGAGGUGACGUCCAUGAUAGGUGUGGGAAAGGAAGACAGGAGGUAUGGGCAUGGUAAGGGCGGAAGUGACGUUACUUUAGAAGCAACCGUGACUGUAGAUAGGUCACGGGACUUUCAGGGUCAACCUGCUUCUGUACUAGGCGCCAUCUUUAGGGUGG